rnacentral:tRNA from 1 species
UGGCACAGUGGUUAAGCGUUUGGCUGCUAACCAAAAGGUCGGCAGUUCAAAUCUACC